rnacentral:rRNA from 1 species
GACGAACGCUGGCGGCGUGCCUAAUACAUGCCAGUUGAGCGCUGAAGGAUGGUGCUUGUACCCACUGGGUGAGCAGCGAACGGGUGAGUAACGCGUGGGGAAUCUGCCUUUGAGCGGGGGACAACAUUGGGAGACGAAUGCUAAUACCGCAUAAAAACUUUAAACACAAGAUUUAAGUUUGAAAGAUGCAAUUGCAUCACUCAAAGAUGAUCCGGCGUUGUAUUAGCUAGUUGGUGAGGUAAAGGCCCACCAAGGCGAUGAUACGUGGCCGGCCUGGGAGGAUGACGGGCAACUUUGGACCUGGAACACGGCCAAAACCCCUAGGGGGGGAGCAAGUGGGGAAUUUUGGAAAAGGAGCAAAAGCCUGACGCGGCAAGCCCGGGUGGGUGAGGAGGGCCUUGGAGUGGUAAAGCCCGUUUGUAGAGAAGGAAGAGCGGGAGAGUGGAACGCCCAUGAACUGACGGUAACCAAACAGAAAGCGACGGCUAACUACGUG